UUUCUUCAUUCACCUCAUUUUCUCAAACCCAUCCAUCUUUCCAGGGUUAUGAGAACCAGCACUCAUUUUAGUCGUUUCCAUGACUCCUCACUCUUCACUUAUGUCUUUCAUCACCAUGCUUUCCAACAUCUCUUGCUGGACCUGAGCGACCCUGUCUCAGUCCAAUCACCUCGCUGUCAUCCUUCCUCAUCAUAUUAAUCGUGUCUGCUGGCUUGAUGCAUUAACGAAAUGUGUUCAAAUGUCUCUCUUGUGCUCUCAUCCCUCCCUACUGCUGUUAAAGAUGACUCUCAACCCCCAUCGCUAACCCUUCUGUUACCUCCAAAUAUCAAAAUGAUCAUAACAUUCCUAGGUAGCCUUUGUUUUUUAAAUCUGUCUCUUUUAUUUAUUUAACCAAAAAACACCUUAAGAUACAGCCUUUUUAGGGGAGACCUGACCAAGAAGGACACUACAGAUUUCCCAGACUGCCCAUAUACAGUAUGUCAUGUAUAAAAAACUGACUGAAACUCCCUGGGUACAAACCGUUGACAUUCAACCUGGUGUGGCUAACUCUCAGUGAGUUCCACAUUUCAACCUAGUUUCCCUCCAUUCAUCUUCAUCUUUCCUCACAGUUAUGUGCAUUAGUAUGCUCCAUGUCUUUGGAGAUUUUCACCCUACAAAGGUUUGCCUCCUUUGUUGACCUUGAGGACAAGACUUCAAAGCUUGCCCCCCCCGGCCCCACUCUCUCCCGGCCUUGCUUCUUUUGUCACAUGACUAAGACACCUGUAAUAAUUUCUCACUUUGAAGAUCAAAGUCGACUAUACCCUGCAUAUGCGUGCCUCCCUUGAAGGGCAGGUAAUGCAACAUUUUGCAUUGAUAUUCAUUCCCCCCAAACACGACUGCUGCCAAAGUUCAAAAUUGAUUCUAUAAUAAUAGCUGCGAUUCUACAGUUCUCCAGUAACGGUACCUUUUGCUCAUCUGUUGAAAAGGAAAGCAACAUCCUUUCAGCCCUUGCCAGCUGCUAUGCAUCUCAUAGAUCCCGAAAUUAUAGUUCAGAACAAGGGGCUCAUGUAAUCCCCAGGUCUGAGCUCACGUCGGCAGUUCACAGUCUGACGGACUACAUUUCUCUUUUGGCUGCCACGGUUGCUAUGACCAUUCUGGUCCUAUUUGUGUUUCUAAUGAUCGAAGUUUUUGGAAUUGGAAAAAGACAAAUGCAUAAUUGUUUUUCCAAGGAACAGCUGAGGCAAUUUCCAACUCACAGAUUCAGCAGAGGGGAUGACUACGAUCUGUGUUCAAUAUGUUUGGACAACUUCAAAGUAGGAAACAAGCUCCGGAUUUUGCCCUGCUCCCACGCCUAUCACCGCAAAUGUGUGGAUUUGUGGCUCACACACGCCAAGAAGACGUGUCCGUUGUGCAGACAACGCGUCUCUCUGAAAAAGGAACAAAUCAAGUGCAAGUCUGAGGAGGAAAAUAGAGCUUAGAUAGGAAAAAAAAAACUCCUCCCGUGUACUUUAUACUGAUCAGUAUUUUGCUUAGUUGUGUUUAAGACUAUGAAAACGUGUGUGUCUAACAACGUACAUUUUUUACGCUGUAAUUCACAGAUCUCACCGUAUUAUCCUGAGUAUGGAGUACGGAACGUGUGAAGUCUCUGUAUCCAAACAGUUAAUUCUACAAACAACCCGGUAGUUUCACUUCACACGGACCACGCAUGAGUUGUCAUUAAAAAAAAAGAAAAGAAAAGAAAAGAAGAAUUAAAUACCCAUUGUAAGUUAAUAACGAAGUAACAUUAAUUGGGCGUUAGUUCUAAAUAAAAUAUAAGUUAAUGGUUAAAAUGCAAAUUGGUCAGCUCUUGUUAAAUAUACCGAGGUGUGUCUCCGUGUCCUUAACACAUUUUCAACGUCUACAACUUAUGUUUUCUAAUAUUUCUGUCAUCAUCGUUUCGAAAAAUCUUUCAAUCCUGGAUGAUGGAACCUUAAAAAAGAGGUAUUCAGAAAACAAACAAAUGAAGCUUAAAUCCAGCCUCAGGUCUGUCCAUUUUAAUCUGUGGGAGUGAAACUAGUGACCUCUAACGGUGACAAUGGAGAACGACUCUUCUUCCGGAACGUCAGAGAAAUAAUCACAACCUUUUGAGCUUCCUUCUCGGGUUUUCUCAGGCUUUUUUUAAAAACUGACAUUAGAUAACAGGUGAGGAGAGGACAACAAUGUUCUCGCUGCCACGUACGUGUUCACGGUUACUUGUUGCUGAGGAAUGUUCCAGAUCUUUAUGAAGGCAGUUGCAGUGGGCUGACUGAUGCCCCUCUUCACUGCCCCUUCUUCCUGUGCAAGCACCAACCGACCGAUCAAUGAAAAGCCACUUUCAUGACCUCCCUGGCUGUGCAGGAGAAAGAAAAGGAGCACAGACAGGGGAAGAGGAAGGGAGGCAACCUGCCAGUCCACUCAUUAUUGGCCAGAAACCAGACAAACUGUGAGGACAUCUCAGAGGGACAGAGUGGGACAGAAAGCGUCCAUACAUAACAUCCUGUUGAUUUACGAGUUUGGACCUGAAGACAAUACAGCCAUUCAGAGCAGGUAUAAUAGUUAAAAGAGUGAGCCUCCGAAAAACAAAGAGGGUCAUACUUCCCGGUGUAUUUCCUUUUCACUAUUGGCAAAAAUAGACUCACCUCAGGAAGUGUCAUCAUUUCAAAAUGUGUUCCGCUGUCACCGUUCACAAUACAUGAAUACAGUUCAACUUUUGUUUUGUGUUAUUUUUGGAGCAAAACGUGCG